rnacentral:rRNA from 1 species
GAUGAACGCUGGCGGCGUGCUUAACACAUGCAAGUCGAACGAAGCACCUUGAUUUGAUUCUUCGGAUGAAGAUCUUGGUGACUGAGUGGCGGACGGGUGAGUAACGCGUGGGUAACCUGCCUCAUACAGGGGGAUAACAGUUAGAAAUGACUGCUAAUACCGCAUAAGACCACAGCACCGCAUGGUGCAGGGGUAAAAACUCCGGUGGUAUGAGAUGGACCCGCGUCUGAUUAGGUAGUUGGUGGGGUAACGGCCUACCAAGCCGACGAUCAGUAGCCGACCUGAGAGGGUGACCGGCCACAUUGGGACUGAGACACGGCCCAAACUCCUACGGGAGGCAGCAGUGGGGAAUAUUGCACAAUGGGGGAAACCCUGAUGGAGCGACGCCGCGUGAGCGAUGAAGUAUUUCGGUAUGUAAAGCUCUAUCAGCAGGGAAGAAAAUGACGGUACCUGACUAAGAAGCACCGGCUAAAUACGUG